GGGUUGUGAGGUUAAGCGACCAAGCGUACACGGUGGAUGCCCUGGCAGUCAGAGGCGAUGAAGGACGUGCUAAUCUGCGAUAAGCGCCGGUAAGGUGAUAUGAACCGUUAUAACCGGCGAUUUCCGAAUGGGGAAACCCAGUGUGAUUCGUCACACUAUCAUUAACUGAAUCCAUAGGUUAAUGAGGCGAACCGGGGGAACUGAAACAUCUAAGUACCCCGAGGAAAAGAAAUCAACCGAGAUUCCCCCAGUAGCGGCGAGCGAACGGGGAGGAGCCCAGAGCCUGAAUCAGCAUGUGUGUUAGUGGAAGCGUCUGGAAAGGCGCGCGAUACAGGGUGACAGCCCCGUACACAAAAGCGCAUAUGCUGUGAGCUCGAUGAGUAGGGCGGGACACGUGGUAUCCUGUCUGAAUAUGGGGGGACCAUCCUCCAAGGCUAAAUACUCCUGACUGACCGAUAGUGAACCAGUACCGUGAGGGAAAGGCGAAAAGAACCCCGGCGAGGGGAGUGAAACAGAACCUGAAACCGUGUACGUACAAGCAGUGGGAGCACAGGUUUACCUGUGUGACUGCGUACCUUUUGUAUAAUGGGUCAGCGACUUAUAUUCUGUAGCAAGGUUAACCGCAUAGGGGAGCCGAAGGGAAACCGAGUCUUAAUUGGGCGUUAAGUUGCAGGGUAUAGACCCGAAACCCGGUGAUCUAGCCAUGGGCAGGUUGAAGGUUGGGUAACACUAACUGGAGGACCGAACCGACUAAUGUUGAAAAAUUAGCGGAUGACCUGUGGCUGGGGGUGAAAGGCCAAUCAAACCGGGAGAUAGCUGGUUCUCCCCGAAAGCUAUUUAGGUAGCGCCUCGUGAACUCAUCUCCGGGGGUAGAGCACUGUUUCGGCUAGGGGGCCAUCCCGGCUUACCAACCCGAUGCAAACUGCGAAUACCGGAGAAUGUUAUCACGGGAGACACACGGCGGGUGCUAACGUCCGUCGUGAAGAGGGAAACAACCCAGACCGCCAGCUAAGGUCCCAAAGUCAUGGUUAAGUGGGAAACGAUGUGGGAAGGCCCAGACAGCCAGGAUGUUGGCUUAGAAGCAGCCAUCAUUUAAAGAAAGCGUAAUAGCUCACUGGUCGAGUCGGCCUGCGCGGAAGAUGUAACGGGGCUAAACCAUGCACCGAAGCUGCGGCAGCGAACGUAUCACUUAAAACGAUUCAGAAGCUUACGAUUGACGGAGCGAAGCGACGUCAAAGCGUAUACAAAGUCGAGUCGGUUUAAGGAUACGUUCGUUGGGUAGGGGAGCGUUCUGUAAGCCUGCGAAGGUGGCCUGUGAGGGUUGCUGGAGGUAUCAGAAGUGCGAAUGCUGACAUAAGUAACGAUAAAGCGGGUGAAAAGCCCGCUCGCCGGAAGACCAAGGGUUCCUGUCCAACGUUAAUCGGGGCAGGGUGAGUCGACCCCUAAGGCGAGGCCGAAAGGCGUAGUCGAUGGGAAACGGGUUAAUAUUCCCGUACUUGGUGUUACUGCGAAGGGGGGACGGAGAAGGCUAUGUUGGCCGGGCGACGGUUGUCCCGGUUUAAGCGUGUAGGCUGACUUUCCAGGCAAAUCCGGAGAGUCAAGGCUGAGGCGUGACGACGAGGCACCACGGUGCUGAAGCAACAAAUGCCCUGCUUCCAGGAAAAGCCUCUAAGCAUCAGGUAACAUCAAAUCGUACCCCAAACCGACACAGGUGGUCAGGUAGAGAAUACCAAGGCGCUUGAGAGAACUCGGGUGAAGGAACUAGGCAAAAUGGUGCCGUAACUUCGGGAGAAGGCACGCUGACACGUAGGUGAAGUGAUUUACUCAUGGAGCUGAAGUCAGUCGAAGAUACCAGCUGGCUGCAACUGUUUAUUAAAAACACAGCACUGUGCAAACACGAAAGUGGACGUAUACGGUGUGACGCCUGCCCGGUGCCGGAAGGUUAAUUGAUGGGGUCAGCGCAAGCGAAGCUCCUGAUCGAAGCCCCGGUAAACGGCGGCCGUAACUAUAACGGUCCUAAGGUAGCGAAAUUCCUUGUCGGGUAAGUUCCGACCUGCACGAAUGGCGUAAUGAUGGCCAGGCUGUCUCCACCCGAGACUCAGUGAAAUUGAACUCGCUGUGAAGAUGCAGUGUACCCGCGGCAAGACGGAAAGACCCCGUGAACCUUUACUAUAGCUUGACACUGAACAUUGAGCCUUGAUGUGUAGGAUAGGUGGGAGGCUUUGAAGCGUGGACGCCAGUCUGCGUGGAGCCGGCCUUGAAAUACCACCCUUUAAUGUUUGAUGUUCUAACGUGGACCCGUGAUCCGGGUUGCGGACAGUGUCUGGUGGGUAGUUUGACUGGGGCGGUCUCCUCCUAAAGAGUAACGGAGGAGCACGAAGGUUGGCUAAUCCUGGUCGGACAUCAGGAGGUUAGUGCAAUGGCAUAAGCCAGCUUGACUGCGAGCGUGACGGCGCGAGCAGGUGCGAAAGCAGGUCAUAGUGAUCCGGUGGUUCUGAAUGGAAGGGCCAUCGCUCAACGGAUAAAAGGUACUCCGGGGAUAACAGGCUGAUACCGCCCAAGAGUUCAUAUCGACGGCGGUGUUUGGCACCUCGAUGUCGGCUCAUCACAUCCUGGGGCUGAAGUAGGUCCCAAGGGUAUGGCUGUUCGCCAUUUAAAGUGGUACGCGAGCUGGGUUUAGAACGUCGUGAGACAGUUCGGUCCCUAUCUGCCGUGGGCGCUGGAGAACUGAGGGGGGCUGCUCCUAGUACGAGAGGACCGGAGUGGACGCAUCACUGGUGUUCGGGUUGUCAUGCCAAUGGCACUGCCCGGUAGCUAAAUGCGGAAGAGAUAAGUGCUGAAAGCAUCUAAGCACGAAACUUGCCCCGAGAUGAGUUCUCCCUGAGACUUUAAGUCUCCUGAAGGAACGUUGAAGACGACGACGUUGAUAGGCCGGGUGUGUAAGCGCAGCGAUGCGUUGAGCUAACCGGUACUAAUGAACCGUGAGGCUUAACCUUACAACGCCGAAGCUGUU
rnacentral:rRNA from 1 species